GUGUCCACUUCGACAGCACAUAUACUAAAAUUGAAAUGACACAGAGAGGAUUAGCAUGCAAAAGGAUGACACGCAAGUUCAUGAAGGGUUCCAUUUUUUU
rnacentral:snRNA from 1 species